ensembl:snRNA U6 U6 spliceosomal RNA
AAACUCAAUUUAGCAGCACAUACACUGAAACUGGAACGGUAUAGAAAAGAUUAGCAAGGUCCCAGGCAAGGACAACACACAAAUUCAUGAAGUAUUCUCUAUUUUU